AUGGCUAGUAAUUGGAGUUUCAGACAAUUUGGGGAGGUAAUUUGUAGCCAAUAUCCUUGGGGUUUGCUUGAUGAAGUGGUAUACAAAUACUAUGAUGGGGAAAAGAAUUGGGUGACAGUUAGUAAUGAUGAAGAGCUAGCUACCAUGUUUGUUAGGCAUAAAGAGAAACAUAAUUUUCAUGUGAGGCUGCAAGUUGAUGUGCUUGAGCAGGCAUUUGGACCUAGGAUGGCGGGUGCAACAUCUCGGGGAGAAUCAAGUCGUCGUAAUGGCAUCUCUAGCCAGAACAGUUCAGUUGGUGCACGGCGACGUGGUGGCUCGACAAGUGUGGGCAACAGCAGUAGGGUCCCCCUUGAAGUGGAGCCUGAUGGCUACAAUUCUGGGGUUGAUGAAGAGAAGUUAUAUUCUGAUGUUAUUCAGAAUUUACGAUGGGCACCUCAGGCUGAAAACCAAGAUGAGGCUCACAAUGCAGUCCGUGUGGAUGAUGACGCGAUGGGUGAGGACGAAGACCUUGCAGCUGUUGAAUGGGACCCUUUGAACCCUCAAAUGAAAGAAGGUACAGUUUUUGCAUCCAUGAAUGAGUGUAGAAAUGCACUUGUGACAUACUGCAUCAAGGUAGAACGUACUUUCAAAGUUGACAAGAGCGAUCAAGUACGUUACAGAGUGCACUGUCCGACUGAGGGUUGUCCAUGGAGGCUGCUUGCAGCUAAAAUGCGGAAUAGCACUAAUGUUCAGGUCAAAGUGAAUCCUUUUAAGCACACAUGCCAGGAAUCAACCCUUAGGAAGGAUACAAUCAGUAGAGCCAAGUCAAGAUGGGUGGCAGAAGAAGUAAAAAAGUGGGUGAAAGAAAACCAGCAAGUGGGUCCAAAGGAAUUGCAGAAGAACAUCAAAGAUAAGUUCAAGAUAGAUUUACCAUACAUGAGGUUGUUCAAUGGUAAACAACAUGCUAUGGAUUCUAUUUAUGGUAACUGGCAGGAAAGUUUUCAAUUGUUGUAUUCAUUCAAAGGU
rnacentral:rRNA from 1 species